rnacentral:tRNA from 1 species
AGGGAUGUAGUUCAGCGGUAGACCAUUUGGCUAUCAUGCACAAGGCCCUGGGUUCGAUCCUCAGUGCUGCAA